AGUUGCAGCACAGUUUUUAGUAUCUGCCAUGAAAAGUUUAUCGGAAUUGAACGAGACCAGUGUCGUUAGUAAUAUAACGACAGUGACUACCAACAUAGUUUAGGUCACCUAAACUGAAUCUCGACGAAUAAAUCCCAUAUAUGAAAAAAUUGGUUCAACCUACAAUAGAACUUUUAAACUAGCGGAACCGGUUAACUAAUUGAUUUUUAUUAGAAAUUUCCUUCUCUUCUCUUCUUGCUACCAAGAGUAAUUUGAUGACUAUUAUUUAGAAUAUUCGCUCUAACAAGAAGUCGAACCCAGAACCUUAAGUGCUAUUAAGGUCUUUGUAACCACUAGGAUACAGACUC
rnacentral:lncRNA from 1 species